CGGAUGUGAAUUUUAAUUUUGAGUUAGUAGUUUACUUGCUUUUUGCAAUGAAGCUUAAAAUGGAAAAUAACUGAAUAUUUUUGUGCUUGCCAAAGAAUUCUGAAACGUUCAUGCCUGUACUAGUAUUGAUGUUCCUGUAGAGCAUUUUUAUUAUCAUCCGAAUAUCCAGGCUUGAGAAAAUGGCGUUUGCUUGGUGAAACAUUUUAUAUUUGUUUUAUGUCCAACUGUGCUGGCAAAGAUGUACAAGU
rnacentral:lncRNA from 1 species